rnacentral:lncRNA from 1 species
GUCGUAAAGCUUUGAAACAAAGGGAAAAAGAAUGAGCGUUAAUUUGAAUUGUUGGAGCAGAGAGAGUUAAGCUAGCUAAAUAUGUCAAAGUCUUCAGAAUCUUGCCUGCGUAAUAGACUUACCAUCCUGAUACCAACGAAGUGUGGGGCGGUUGGGAUGGGCGUCCAAUGCGAGCUCUAGCAUAUCGGCCGCUUUUUGCACCGUUGGCAAGCAGUUUUUCUCAGACCAAAGAGAAACGAGGACUGUUUGGAGACAAGGGAGGUGUCGCAUGUCGACGUCAAAGUUACCACCUGCGAUGUGCGACGCUCGGGCAAAGAAGAAAAGGUAUCCAGGCCUGGGC